GUAGGUGGCAAGCGUUGUCCGGAAUUAUUGGGCGUAAAGCGCGCGCAGGCGGUCCUUUAAGUCUGAUGUGAAAGCCCACGGCUCAACCGUGGAGGGUCAUUGGAAACUGGGGGACUUGAGUACAGAAGAGGAAAGCGGAAUUCCAAGUGUAGCGGUGAAAUGCGUAGAGAUUUGGAGGAACACCAGUGGCGAAGGCGGCUUUCUGGUCUGUAACUGACGCUGAGGCGCGAAAGCGUGGGGAGCGAACAGGAUUAGAUACCCUGGUAGUCCACGCCGUAAACGAUGAGUGCUAAGUGUUAGGGGGUUUCCCGCCCCCCUUAGUGCUGCAGCUAACGCAUUAAGCACUCCGCCUGGGGAGUACGGCCCGCAAGGCUG
rnacentral:rRNA from 1 species